CUACGGGACGCAGCAGUGAGGAAUUUUGCGCAAUGGGGGGAACCCUGACGCAGCAACGCCGCGUGAGUGAUGAAGGCUUUCGGGUCGUAAAGCUCUGUCAAGUGGGAAGAACCUAUGCAGUGUUAAUAUCACUGUAUACUGACGGUACCACUGAAGGAAGCACCGGCUAACUCCGUGCCAGCAGCCGCGGUAAUACGGGGGGUGCAAGCGUUAUUCGGAAUCAUUGGGCGUAAAGGGCACGUAGGCGGCUUGGUAAGUCAGAUGUGAAAGCCCGGGGCUUAACCCCGGAAGUGCAUUUGAUACUGUCAGGCUUGAGUAUGGGAGAGGGAAGUGGAACUCCUGGUGUAGAGGUGAAAUUCGUAGAUAUCAGGAGGAACACCGGUGGCGAAGGCGACUUCCUGGACCAAUACUGACGCUGAGGUGCGAAGGCGUGGGUAGCAAACAGGAUUAGAUACCCUGGUAGUC
rnacentral:rRNA from 1 species